AUGGAGCUGGGGCCAGAGGACGUGCCGCCAUUCGCAGCGGUGCCCGAGUCGCAGCUAGGGUUUUUUAAGUUGUCAAUUGGGCAGUUCGAAGGGCUGGAGGAGGCGGACGUGCUCGUCAACUCAUUCAGCGACAUCGAGCCAACGGAGGCAGAGUACAUGGAAUUAACUUGGGGAGCGAAGACUGUAGGCCCCACCUUGCCAUCGUUUUACCUCGAGGACGAUCGUCUGCCCUCCAACAAGUCUUAUGGUUUCAAUCUUUUUGGUGACGAUGCACCGUGUUUGGAUUGGUUAGAGGAACAUAGCAUCUCCUCUGUUGUGCUUGUAUCCUACGGGACUUUCUCGAACUAUGACACAACCCAGCUGGAGGAACUUGGCAAUGGAGUAUGCAGCUCAGGCAAACCUUUUCUAUGGGUUGUUAGGUCCAAUGAGGUACACAAGUUAUCCGAAGAAGUCAAGGCAAAAUGUGAGAAGAAUGGAUUGAUUGUUUCUUGGUGCCCCCAACUUGAGGUUCUGGCACAUAAGGCCAUCGGUUGUUUUGUUACUCAUUGUGGAUGGAACUUGACACUCGAGGCAGUUGUUUGCGGUGUACCUAUUGUGGGAAUUCCGCACUGGGCAGACCAACCCACCAUCGCAAAGUAUGUGGAGAGCGCAUGGGAUAUGGGUGUGCGAGUGCGGAAGAGUGAAACUGGAUUUCUAAGGAGUGAGGAGGUCGGGAGGUGUAUUAGGGAGGUCAUGGAUGGAGAGAGGAAGAACGAGUAUAAAAGGAAUGCAACAAAGUUGAUGCAGAAGGCUAAGGAGGCAAUGCGAGAAGGUGGAAGCUCCGACAAGCAUAUUGCAGAAUUCGCUGCAAAGUAUUUGUCAAUUUAA
rnacentral:rRNA from 1 species